rnacentral:rRNA from 1 species
CCCUUAGAUGUCCUGGGCCGCACGCGCGCUACACUGAUGCAUGCAACGAGUUUAUAACCUUGGCCUGAAAGGUCUGGGUAAUCUUUUGAACGUGCAUCGUGAUAGGGAUAGAUUAUUGCAAUUGUUAAUCUUGAACGAGGAAUUCCUAGUAAACGCGAGUCAUCAGCUCGCAUUGAUUACGUCCCCGCCCUUUGUACACACCGCCCGUCGCACCUACCGAUUGAAUGGUUCGGUGAAGAUCUCGGACUUCGAUAUUUAUUCUUUAUUGAGUUUAUAUUGUGGGAAGUUAUCUAAACCUCAUCAUUUAGAGGAAGGUGAAGUCGUAACA